rnacentral:lncRNA from 1 species
GAAGCCCAUAAGUUCGAUGGGUGAAGCCUACUACAUAAUAUCCAAAGCCCAUAUGUCCGAAUAUCACUUAACCCUAUUCUAAAAAGUGUUGAAGUCGUCUUCUCUCUUCAACUCCUGGAAUUGAAUUUAUCCUCUCCAGCCACCAUCACAUCUUUGAAGGGAAACGGUGAAACCGGCUAUUUUCAGUUUUUCCAUCGGCAUCAAAGAUAUUAUUCGCGAAGGUGGUGAUUUUUGAAUCGGCGACGCGUUUGUUGCCAGACUUAUUACUCGCUGCCAGCGGAUGAAGGAAAUUCAUGUAUUAAUUGUCUGCCCUCGUCGAUCUCGAAAUCCAAAAAGUAAAUGCUCUGUAAGCACUACACUGCUCCGAGGUCGCAAGAAUGAUUGUGAGAUUGGCGGCCAUGAAACAGAGGUUGAUGUACUCUACAUUUUUCAAGUUUCCAUGUAAGAAAAUAAAAAUUAAAAAACAGAUUGAAGAAGGAUCUUUAGGUAAAAUCAAUACUUCUUUUUUUUUUUUUUAUAACAAUAACUACUACUCCCUCCGUCCCUGAAAUGGCUUCCUCUUUGGGGACGGCACGAGUUUUAAUAAAAAGUUGUAAAGUGUAUUGAUAGUGGAGAAAAAGUGAUAUAAUUAUUAUUGGAAGUUGUGAAAAGUGUUAUAAUUAUUAUUGGGAGUGAUGAAAAGUGAAAAAUAAGAAUAAAUAAAGUAUUGUUAGUGGUGGGGUAGGUUUCCAAAAAUGGAAAGAAAGAAAGAGGAAGUUAUUUGGGGGACGUCCCAAAAUGGAAAAAGAGGAAGUUAUUUUAGGGACGGAGGGAGUACUAAUUUGUCCACUUUUUGUCUUCAAUUGGAGGUUUCAACCUUCUCCUAAUUUUUUCAUUUCUAGAUCUUAUUUCUUGAAUCAUGUUCUUCACGGAAGUUGAAGGAACAAAGAUGCGUCAUGCGUGAAUAUUAUCUUGGUUGGACUUUAUGAUUAGAGUUGUUGUUGUUGGCUUCUUCGGAGGUGGGGUUAGGCGGCGGCGGCAUGGCGGUCGACGGAAAGCAGGGUGAUUGAAAGUAGUUGAAGUGAAGAAAUUGUUUUCUUCAAAACUGACGCUGCGUGAUAAUGCCGAAAAAAUCGCUUUUUUCUAAACCUGUUACAAAUGGUUAGACUGGUCUUUCAUAUACUCCCUCC